AAACCAUGCACCGAAGCUGCGGCAGCGAACGUAUCACCCAAGACAACUUUACGGAGUUGACGAUUGACGGAGCGAAGCGACGUCAAAGCGUUCAUUAAAGUCGAGUUGGCUUAGGGAUACGUUCGUUGGGUAGGGGAGCGUUCUGUAAGCCUGUGAAGGUGUGUCGUGAGGCAUGCUGGAGGUAUCAGAAGUGCGAAUGCUGACAUAAGUAACGAUAAAGCGGGUGAAAAGCCCGCUCGCCGGAAGACCAAGGGUUCCUGUCCAACGUUAAUCGGGGCAGGGUGAGUCGACCCCUAAGGCGAGGCCGAAAGGCGUAGUCGAUGGGAAACGGGUUAAUAUUCCCGUACUUGGUGUUACUGCGAAGGGGGGACGGAGAAGGCUAUGUUGGCCGGGCGACGGUUGUCCCGGUUUAAGCGUGUAGGUGUGUGUUCCAGGUAAAUCCGGUUCACUUUAACACUGAGGCGUGACGACGAGGCACUACGGUGCUGAAGCAACAAAUGCCCUGCUUCCAGGAAAAGCCUCUAAGCAUCAGGUAACACGAAAUCGUACCCCAAACCGACACAGGUGGUCAGGUAGAGAAUACCAAGGCGCUUGAGAGAACUCGGGUGAAGGAACUAGGCAAAAUGGUGCCGUAACUUCGGGAGAAGGCACGCUGACACGUAGGUGAAGUGAUUUACUCAUGGAGCUGAAGUCAGUCGAAGAUACCAGCUGGCUGCAACUGUUUAUUAAAAACACAGCACUGUGCAAACACGAAAGUGGACGUAUACGGUGUGACGCCUGCCCGGUGCCGGAAGGUUAAUUGAUGGGGUCAGCGCAAGCGAAGCUCCUGAUCGAAGCCCCGGUAAACGGCGGCCGUAACUAUAACGGUCCUAAGGUAGCGAAAUUCCUUGUCGGGUAAGUUCCGACCUGCACGAAUGGCGUAAUGAUGGCCAGGCUGUCUCCACCCGAGACUCAGUGAAAUUGAACUCGCUGUGAAGAUGCAGUGUACCCGCGGCAAGACGGAAAGACCCCGUGAACCUUUACUAUAGCUUGACACUGAACAUUGAGCCUUGAUGUGUAGGAUAGGUGGGAGGCUUUGAAGUGUGGACGCCAGUCUGCAUGGAGCCGACCUUGAAAUACCACCCUUUAAUGUUUGAUGUUCUAACGUGGACCCGUAAUCCGGGUUGCGGACAGUGUCUGGUGGGUAGUUUGACUGGGGCGGUCUCCUCCUAAAGAGUAACGGAGGAGCACGAAGGUUGGCUAAUCCUGGUCGGACAUCAGGAGGUUAGUGCAAUGGCAUAAGCCAGCUUGACUGCGAGCGUGACGGCGCGAGCAGGUGCGAAAGCAGGUCAUAGUGAUCCGGUGGUUCUGAAUGGAAGGGCCAUCGCUCAACGGAUAAAAGGUACUCCGGGGAUAACAGGCUGAUACCGCCCAAGAGUUCAUAUCGACGGCGGUGUUUGGCACCUCGAUGUCGGCUCAUCACAUCCUGGGGCUGAAGUAGGUCCCAAGGGUAUGGCUGUUCGCCAUUUAAAGUGGUACGCGAGCUGGGUUUAGAACGUCGUGAGACAGUUCGGUCCCUAUCUGCCGUGGGCGCUGGAGAACUGAGGGGGGCUGCUCCUAGUACGAGAGGACCGGAGUGGACGCAUCACUGGUGUUCGGGUUGUCAUGCCAAUGGCACUGCCCGGUAGCUAAAUGCGGAAGAGAUAAGUGCUGAAAGCAUCUAAGCACGAAACUUGCCCCGA
rnacentral:rRNA from 1 species